UACAGAGGUCCCAAGCGUUGUUCGGAUUCACUGGGUGUAAAGGGUGCGUAGGCGGUCGGGUAAGUCUGAUGUGAAAUCUCACAGCUUAACUGUGAAACUGCAUUGGAUACUAUCCGGCUCGAGGAAUGGAGGGGAGACUGGAAUACUUGGUGUAGCAGUGAAAUGCGUAGAUAUCAAGUGGAACACCAGUGGCGAAGGCGAGUCUCUGGACAUUUCCUGACGCUGAGGCACGAAAGCCAGGGGAGCAAACGGG
rnacentral:rRNA from 1 species